GACGGUAUGGCCGAGUGGUCUAAGGCGCCAGACUUGAAAUCUGGUUCCCUAUGGGAGCGCAGGUUCGAACCCUGCUACCGUCG